rnacentral:rRNA from 1 species
GACGAACCGAGCGAACGUUGUUCGGAAUCACUGGGCUUAAAGGGCGCGUAGGCGGGUGCUCAAGUCUGUGGUGAAAUCCUCCGGCUCAACCGGAGAACUGCCAUGGAUACUGGGUGUCUCGAGGGUGGUAGGGGUAUGCGGAACUAUCGGUGGAGCGGUGAAAUGCGUUGAUAUCGAUAGGAACUCCGGUGGCGAAGGCGGCAUACUGGACCACAUCUGACGCUGAGGCGCGAAAGCCAGGGAGCGAACGGG